UACGUAGGGUGCGAGCGUUGUCCGGAAUUAUUGGGCGUAAAGAGCUUGUAGGCGGUUUGUCGCGUCUGCCGUGAAAAUUCGAGGCUCAACCUCGAACUUGCGGUGGGUACGGGCAGACUAGAGUGUGGUAGGGGAGACUGGAAUUCCCGGUGUAGUGGUGAAAUGCGUAGAGAUCGGGAGGAACACCCGUGGCGAAGGCAGAUCUCUGGGCCGUAACUGACGCUGAGGAGCGAAAGCAUGGGGAGCGAACAGG
rnacentral:rRNA from 1 species